UUAAAAGGAGGUUUUUAGUGGCGAACGGGUGAGUAACACGUAAGUAACCUGCCUUUAAGACGAGGAUAACAACCGGAAGGUUACUAAGACUGGAUAGGAAACAAAAAGGCAUCUUUUUGUUUUUAAAAGACCUUCUUACGAAGGUAUGCUUAAAGAGGGGCUUGCGCCACAUUAGUUAGUUGGUAGAGUAAAAGCCUACCAAGACGAUGAUGUGUAGCUGGACUGAGAGGUUGAACAGCCACAUUGGGACUGAGACACGGCCCAAACUCCUACGGGAGGCAGCAGUAGGGAAUUUUCGGCAAUGGAGGAAACUCUGACCGAGCAACGCCGCGUGAACGAUGAAGUAUUUCGGUAUGUAAAGUUCUUUUAUUGAAGAAGAAAAAGUAGUGGAAAAACUAUAUUGACGUUAUUCAAUGAAUAAGCCCCGGCUAACUAUGUGCCAGCAGCCGCGGUAAGACAUAGGGGGCGAGCGUUAUCCGGAAUUAUUGGGCGUAAAGGGUGGCGUAGGCUGUUAGAUAAGUCUAUAAUUUAAUUUCAGUGCUUAACGCUGUCUUGUUAUAGAAACUGUCUUGACUAGAGUGAGAUAGAGACUAGCUGAAUUCCAUGUGUAGCGGUAAAAUGUGUAAAUAUAUGGAGGAACACCAGAAGCGUAGGCGGCUUGCUGGGUCUUUACUGACGCUGAGGCACGAAAGCGUGGGUAGCAAACAGGAUUAGAUACCCUGGUAGUCCACGCCGUAAACGAUGAGUACUAAGUGUCGGGGUAAAACUCGGUACUGAAGUUAACACAUUAAGUACUCCGCCUGAGUAGUACGUACGCAAGUAUGAAACUUAAAGGAAUUGACGGGACUCCGCACAAGCGGUGGAUCAUGUUGUUUAAUUCGAAGAUACACGAAAAAUCUUACCAGGUCUUGACAUACUCUGCAAAGCUAUAGAAAUAUAGUGGAGGUUAUCAGGGAUACAGGUGGUGCAUGGUUGUCGUCAGUUCGUGUCGUGAGAUGUUAGGUUAAGUCCUAAAACGAACGCAACCCUUGUCGUUAAUUGCCAGCACAUAAUGGUGGGGACUUUAACGAGACUGCCAAUUAAACAUUGGAGGAAGGUGAGGAUUACGUCAAAUCAUCAUGCCCCUUAUGAUCUGGGCUACAAACGUGAUACAAUGGCUGUGACAAAGAGUAGCUGAAACGCGAGUUUUUAGCCAAUCUCAAAAAAGCAGUCUCAGUUCGGAUUGAAGUCUGUAACUCGACUUCAUGAAGUUGGAAUCGCUAGUAAUCGCGAAUCAGCAUGUCGCGGUGAAUACGUUCUCGGGGUUUGUACACACCGCCCGUCAAACCACGAAAGUUAGCAAUGCCCGA
rnacentral:rRNA from 1 species